UACGUGAGUGGCAAACGUUAUCCGGAAUUACGGGGCGUAAAGCGUCCGUAGGGGGUCUGGUAAGUGCAAUGUGAAACCGAACGGCUCAACCGUUCGUUGCAUUGUAUACUGUCAUGCUUGAGGUGUGCAGAGGUGAGCAGAAUUCCCAGAGUAGGGGUAAUAUCCGUAGAUACUGGGAGGAAUACCAAUAGCGAAGGCAGCUCACUGGGCAUCACCUGACCCUGAAGCGACGAAAGCGUGGGGAGCGAACCGG
rnacentral:rRNA from 1 species